UGAACUGAUCUAUUAAAAUAUAUAUUGAGCUAAAAAAUUCAGCUCGUUUAUUAAGGAUCGAGUCGAACACGAGCUGGUUCACGAAUAGUAAGUUAAAUUGUUAGCUCUACUAAUGAGCGAAAAGAGAAAGAAAAUUAGAAUUUUAAUCUAAUAAUUAAACUUUGUAUAAUACAGGUCUCUUUAUGAACAGUGGUUAAUAAAAUAUGAAUGGUCAAAAAGUAGAUAAUAAAUAUUAUUCAUGUACUAUUAGUAGUAUUCGAGCUUUACCAAGCCGAGCACGAGUGGGCAGACCCCAGCUCAUAUUUGGCUUAUUAAAAUUUCGAGCAGAAAUAUUCUGCUUGUUUUCGGCUGGUUUAUUAAGAAAAUGUCUGAUCGCAAGCUCAUUUCGAAUCAAAUACGAACUUAGUCGUAAACAGCAAGCUGGAUUGCUAAAUGGUAACCCUAUCCGAUAACACAUUACUAAAUAUUACAAGCUUGGUUCAUUUUUAAAAAAUAAACUCAAUUAGUUAGAAAUACAAAGCAACUAGGUUUUGACGAACAUCAAAUAUCAACUAUCAAGCCCUUAGCAUAUUGCGCUAUGUGCGCGGAUUAUUAAUUAUUUAACUCAUCUAUAUAAUUAUUAGUUUUUUAGCAUAUCAUCAUGAAA
rnacentral:lncRNA from 1 species